rnacentral:rRNA from 1 species
UACAUGUGGGGCAAGCGUUGUUCGGAAUUACUGGGCGUAAAGGGUGCGUAGGUGGCGCUGUAAGUCGGGUGUGAAAUCCUGAGGCUUAACCUCGGAACUGCAUUCGAUACUGCGGCGCUUGAGGACUGGAGAGGAGACUGGAAUUCAUGGUGUAGCAGUGAAAUGCGUAGAGAUCAUGAGGAAGACCAGUGGCGAAGGCGGGUCUCUGGACAGUUCCUGACACUGAGGCACGAAGGCCAGGGGAGCAAACGGG